rnacentral:lncRNA from 1 species
AUGCCCUGCCUCAUGCACAGAGGAAGAAUUGUUGAAAGCUACAGACAAUGCCGUUGCCGUUUUUGGUCCAAAAUUAUUCAGCCGGUUGUGCUCCCUCUAUUCUGUCAGUUUUACACUUAUUUAUGCAAUGCUAGUCGAACAACUCCGCAUCUGUAUGUUUGCCCACAAUGCCUUGCCUCAUGCACAGAGGAAGAAUUGUUGAAAGCUACAGACAAUGCUGUCCCUGUUGCCCGUUUUUGGUCCAAAAUUAUUCAGCCGGUUGUGUUCCCUCUAUUCUGUCAGUUUUACACUUAUUUAUGCAAUGCUACAGUUGAACAACUCCGCAUCUGUAUGCUUGCCCACAAUGCCCUGCUUCAUGCACAGAGGAAGAAUUGUUGAAAGCUACAGACAAUGCUGUCCCUGUUGCCCGUUUUUGGUCCAAAAUUAUUCAGCUGGUUGUGUUCCCUCUAUUUUGUCAGUUUUAUACUUAUUUAUGCGAUGCUUUUGACAAAAUAAAUAAACUAAGCCCAUCUGAAAACCACUUCCGACAACAUGGCAAACGACGUGAUUUUUUCCCCAUCCCUCCCCCCAAAGCCAUUGUACAUCGGAUGCCACUAUUUUCCAAAUGACCAGCUUCCCAACAGUUUUUGUAGACUUCUUUAAUACAAAACAAACCAAACAAAAUACGCAUCAUUGGCAUUUUAUGUAGUACGUAUACAUUCUUUGUAUCUGCAGGUCCAGAAGGCAAAAGCAAAGGCGGGGGAGAUGAUUGUGUGUCUUUGGUAGUUCUCCCAUGUCGCCUCUUGACAUGACAAAGAGGUCCCAGAACAAAGUGAAGAAAGGAGUCCAAAGAGAGAAGCAGGCCAUGAUACAGUAGUUGGAUUUCAAAAGAUUAAGGAGGUCCAUUUGUAUCCCUAAAUAUGCUAACCUUUCAUUAGACGAAAUUAAGGCUUCCCUGAAGACGACCCGCUUGUGGAAACCGCCCGGUCAAAUUCUAUCCUUUAGACUUGAUGCAGCCUGAACUAAAGCUUGUCUCCCUUCACCUCAACACAACUCCGGAUCCUAGGGUUGCGCCCAUUCUGCCAGGCCUGGAUCCCUAAAAACACGGUACAAAAGCCACUGAGUAUUUGCCAGCCGAUAUAUAACUCUGUGCUGCAAAGGCAAGACCCGCUGGUUCUAUUUUACACAGCACCAAUGUAUACGCUUGUGUCCCCAGAGAUACAGAUAUAUACAUAAUUAAUUCGUGCAAAGUGAAAUGGCAGAUCUUCCCUUUGGGGCACAGGUCGGCUUUUGCAUUGUAUAUGCUCAUAUAUACUUACACACCUAAGCAGCUAUAUUUUAUAUAUAUCUAUAUACACAUACACACGCACACACAGCACAUGCCAUAUAUAAAAAAGCCAUCACAAGAGAUAUACAUGGGAACACACCAGAGCAACGUAUAUCUAAUUAUGUACAUAUUUUUUCACAGUUGAGAAU